AGCAGGAGGAAAGGCCGGAAAGGCCAUCUCCUGCUUCGGGAAGUGGUUUGCUGCGGGAAAAUUGCGUUGCCCGCCCAGAAACAGACCUUUUUGCCACGACCCUCUGGCCCACGUGUAUGUCUGGUGAUCUCAGGCACUGUUUCUCCUUCCGAGUGAGUAAGCAGGCAGGAGGCCGGGGGCGCACACAGAAGCCGCAGCCGCGAGACAUCACAGGCCUCGGAGCCGGGACUCUGAUGCGGGAGGCCUGGGCAGGGCCCAUCGGGAAAACCUGGCACCCUUCUGCCCUUCCCCCUAUCUCCUCCAACCCCACCCGCUCUAGAUGAUCUGACGGACGCGUGUGGGGCAAGACUACGCUGGAUGAUUUUUAAAGGGCCUUUCGCCUAAAUGUGUAUGAUUCUCAAAGCCGGUGCCCUGGGCAGGGGCCUGAGAAGCUGCCAGGUGCAGAGGGAGGCCUGGCAGGAAAGGGGCCCCUCCACCAUGCAGCAGACCCCCCCCCCCCCAGGCUUGAGGCGAGCCCAUGGAAGACGUGGGCGACUUGCUAUGCUAAGCGCUCUGGAUACCGAUUGCGGGGCAGGGGCAAGGCGCCCUGGCUCCUCGGUGGGUCCUUUGAACACAGAUCACGUGGUCUCUGAUUCAGUCCAGGGAGUCCCCACCUGCUGUCAUUAAAAAUAUGUAUGUUGCAGACCUUAUUUCUUAGAGCAGUUUCCGGUUUACAGAAAAACUGGGCAGAAAGUACAGAGAGUUCUCCUAUACCCCCUCACCUUACCCCCCCACCCCAGUUUCCGCGUCAUUCACACCUUGCCCUAGUGUGGUACAUUUGUUAAAAUUGGUGAAUGCAUAUUGAUACGUUAUUAAUACCCUGUAAUUUACAGUAAGACUCCUACAGUUUUAUGAGUUUUGACCAACGCAGAAUGCCAUGUAUCCACAAUUACUAGCAUCAUGAAAGAUAGUUCCACUGUUCUAAAAAAUCCCCCCUGCUAUACCUAUUCAUCCCUCCCCUCCCGGCAAUCCCUGGCAACCACCUAUGUUUUUACUGUCCAUAGUUUUGCCUCUCCCAGAGUGUCAUACAGUUGGAAGCAUACUGUAUAUCGCCUUUUCAGGUCAGCGUCUUUCACUUAGCUGUAGUCACUUAAGGUCCUUCCAUGUCUUUUUGUGGCUUGACAGCUCAUUUCUUUUUUAAUCACUGAAUAAUAUUCCAUGGUAUGGGCUUGCUGUCUUUUCCAUUUAGACUUGGUGUUGGCAUUCCCCAUAACUGCAUCUUCCAGCAAGAAGAGGAGAGAGAAAUUAAGAGUACACAUACCUUGAUGAGCACCAAGUAUUGCACAGAAUUGUUGAAUCACUACACAGGACACCCGAAACUAACAUGACACUGUAUGUUAACUACACUAGAAUUUAAAAAAAAAAAAAAGGGGGGGGGGGAGAGAAGAGCAGCACGUCAGGCCUUUGCUAGAAAGCUUCCCCCAGUCUCUGGUAGCACUACACAAUUUUCUCCAUUCCUCAUCCUGCCACUGAUUCAGUCUCACUGAUGAUACUCGUGGUAUGUAUUUGUAACUAUCUUACACCCUCAACGUUUGAAAUUCCUUUCCAUCUGGGGGGAUCCAGAGCUGUGCAUGGCUGGUGGAAACCAGGAUGUAACUAUACUACGAAAGGCAAAAGUACCAGACUUUGCCCUCCCACAAACCCCAGCAGGGCUUAGCCGAUCCCAUGCACGUGAUGGAGACUUGGAACAUGGAAUGAGGUACACACAAGCAGGAAGAGUCUGGAAUUUACUCCAGGGGGGCCACUGCUCUGGCAUUGGCAGUGGGGCUGAUGGCUGCAGCUGGUGCACAGUGGGGGCAUUAUCAGCCCCCUAACCAGGAUGCUGUUUGGAGCAAUUGGAAUGCACCAUGAUGACAUCUUUGGACUGACCCAGUGGAUGAGGAACAGAAGCUUUGUAAGAAAAAUCCAUCUGGGUGUGCAGAAAUGCAAAAACUCUUCCAAAAAAUAAGACCAUUGGAGCCACCAAAAUGAGCUAGUUCUGUAUCCCGCUCUUGCGGAUGAGUCUGAAGAAUGUUCCAGCUGCAAACCUCAAUGUGGUCAAUGCCAGUGCCUACAGCCAGGGGCUGAGGGAAGGAGGAGGUUGUAAGUGGAGCUGUUGUGUCCCCCACUUGGAAACCCCUCUGAGGAGAGAAGAGAUGGAUCCCGACCCUUCGGUUUCACCUCCUGUGUUUCUCCAACACUCAAGUGGGCUCCACCACCCAAGCCUCUCUGGUGGCUUCAGGCACUUAUGUUGUGUGCUGAUAACGGAAGACAAA